UACGGGAGGCAGCAGUGGGGAAUAUUGCACAAUGAGCGAAAGCUUGAAUGCAGCCAUACCGCGUGUGUGAAGAAGGCCCGAGGGUUGUAAAGCACUUUCAAUUGGGAGGAAGAUUAAGUAGUUAAUACCUGCUUAAUUUGACGUUACCUUUAGAAGAAGCACCGGCUAACUCUGUGCCAGCAGCCGCGGUAAUACAGAGGGUGCAAGCGUUAUUCGGAAUUACUGGGCGUAAAGCGCGCGUAGGCGGAUUAGUAAGUCAGUUGUGAAAGCCCUGGGCUCAACCUAGGAACUGCAUCUGAUACUGCUGAUCUAGAGUUUAGUAGAGGGAAGGGGAAUUCCAGGUGUAGCAGUGAAAUGCGUAGAUAUCUGGAGGAACAUCAGUGGCGAAGGCGCCUUCCUGGACUAAAACUGACCGUGAGGUGGGAAAGCGUGGGUAGCGAACGGAGGAUUAGAUACCCCGGUAGUCCCCCCCUUAAACGAUGUCAACUUGUGGUUGGUGUUAUUAAAAAGAUUCAGU
rnacentral:rRNA from 1 species